AUGAACGCUGGCGGCGUGCCUAAUACAUGCACGUCGAGCGAACGGACGAGUAGCUUGCUUUUCUGAUGUUAGCGGCGGACGGGUGAGUAACACGUGGAUAACCUACCUAUAAGACUGGGAUAACUUCGGGAAACCGGAGCUAAUACCGGAUAAUAUUUUGAACCGCAUGGUUCAAAAGUGAAAGACGGUCUUGCUGUCACUUAUAGAUGGAUCCGCGCUGCAUUAGCUAGUUGGUAAGGUAACGGCUUACCAAGGCAACGAUGCAUAGCCGACCUGAGAGGGUGAUCGGCCACACUGGAACUGAGACACGGUCCAGACUCCUACGGGAGGCAGCAGUAGGGAAUCUUCCGCAAUGGGCGAAAGCCUGACGGAGCAACGCCGCGUGAGUGAUGAAGGUCUUCGGAUCGUAAAACUCUGUUAUUAGGGAAGAACAUAUGUGUAAGUAACUGUGCACAUCUUGACGGUACCUAAUCAGAAAGCCACGGCUAACUACGUG
rnacentral:rRNA from 1 species